rnacentral:lncRNA from 1 species
UGUCGUCUGCACGUCUGUCACGCGGCUGUAAUUCGGUGUUGGUGUGUAAUGGUGUUGGACUGAUUAGGAGGACCAAAAAAUAUAGAAGGCAUCACCUGUUUACAUCAAUAUGUACACACAAAUUUCAAUGCAGGGCAAUGAACCUGCCCAACUCGUCAAGGACUGCUGUUCAUAUUUCAGUUUUAUUCAAUCCCAAUCCCAGGUCAAAUUAUUUCACUACAUUUAUCGUCAUCACCCUUUCAUUAUCAUUACCUUACUGCAGAGCUAAAACUAUAUUUUUGUAUUUCUGAACAUCAUCUCAGAUUUACCCUUUCUAAACGAUCAACAGGCAAUGAUACCAGGCUCAGCUGAUCAGGCUCGGUUCCAUCUUUUGAGCUUAGUCGAUCGUUUUAUCUGUGAUCGGCAGGAAAUGCUUUUGUAGAAGAUUUUGCACUUGACUUCAUCCCCUAAUCUGUUUUCUAAGAUGACGUGGAAUCGAGUAAUCCUUGAGCGAAGAUCUUGUAGUUUGGCAGCCAUCCGCCUCAAUUAUAAGAAAUCCUUGCCGAUUUCUUUGGAGAAAAACCGAAGUUUGAGGUUCUGUCUUAUUAGUCCUAUUCAUGCAACCCUGCCCACUCCUCUACAAUUACUGCUAAAUUAUUCAAAAUGGUGGCCGCCUGUCGCGUCGUUACCUGUAGCUUUAGUGAUGUUCUCGGGUCUGUGGUCACAUUCUAGGCUUUUUGAUAUAUUUUCAGAUAUCUGCAGCUGACUGUUUUCCCGGAGUGCUCUUUGUCAAUAGAGAUGAAAUGGUCCAGUCCAAUGAAUGUGUGGUUCUAUCCAUGAAAAUGAAUCCAUUCCAUGAAUGUCUGACGAUGAAGAUAUAUCCAUCAUGGUCAGAAUGUUCCUACCUCAGAAGUGGAGAAGUGCUGGGAUUUGGUGAAAUCCUGUAAACCGGAAUACUCCACAAUCGAGAUUUCUUUCAGGUUCUGUCAGCCAGGUUAAUUUGAAGCUGUUUCCAUCCAAAUCAGAACAUUUCGACUUGCUGCAUGCCAAGUGCCUAAAUUGGGAAGCUUCUUGAACAUUUACAACAAGUUGAUGUUGCUUUAUAUCUAAUUUGUUUCAUAGGUUCUUUCCGCUGUUGGUUGAUGUUUGAAGUCAAAGCUGAAAUUGCUAACGGUGUUACAGUACCGUUGUGUACCGAGUUGCAGAUAUAUUAAUCUAAUGUGCUGAUGCUGUUGCCCAUCGUCUCCCCUGGUUUAAGGAGUACUUAUUGAACAAAAUCGAAAUUACGCCAGUGGUUAUUUUCCCAUUGUUUUUAUUUCUAGUAUACUCCUUCAGUGUGUUCUUUAUUUGUUACUAUGAAUGUGGUUUGAGUUUAAAAAGCUGUUAGUUUUG